UACUGUCCCGUUGGAGGAGGAAGGGAAGACUGGAGAUCUGAUUAACACCAGAGAAAGACCAGACUCAGAGGAACCAGAGACGUCCAAACCCGCAAGAGGACGCAACUGUUCCCACUGUGGAAAGGGUUUUAACCAGUUAGGGGACCUGAAACGACAUGAGAGGACACACACAGGCAAUAAACCUUUCCAAUGCUC